rnacentral:lncRNA from 10 species
GUGAGUGACUGGGCUGGGGAGGGGAACGGGUAGAUGGGGUCAGAUCAGCAAGGCCCUCGCCUGCCCAUGCAUCCGACCUUCCCUGCCACGCCCAGAGGAUGUUUGGCAAGGUGGAGGACUGCUCACCUCUGAGUUUGGCGAGGUCCCUCUGGCAGGGGUGGAGAAAGGGUCGCCAGGCGGCUCGUGCAGGGCAGGUGCUCUCCAGGGAAGGUCAUUUGGUCGAACUUGUGCUUGGGAGUUUUUGGUGCACAAGUGAUAACUGGAGCCAUGGAAAUGAGAGGGAGAGGGAGGGGUCAGGUGCAGGGAGAGGGAGGGGUCAGGUGCAGGAACAGAGCCCAAGGAACACCUGCAUUGAAGGGACAGAGGCCCCACAGACAGGAGGAGAAAACCCAGUUCCACCAAGGUCACGAAGCCUAGGAAGCCGGGAUUUCCAUGGUCAGUAGUAUUGAGUGCUGCAGAGAUGCUGAGUACGGAUGUGGUUAAGCGGCUGGGGAAGGGUGAAAGGCACCCCCAGGGACCUCGGUGAGAGCAGUGUCAAUGGGAGGCAGUGCAGAGACACAGGGCCCAGCGGCUUCCAGGGCAGGUGCCGGGAAAGGGUCGCCCGGCAGAGUGGCUGCACAGAGCUGCACCCGUGCACAUUGCAAACGUGGACAAGAGUGUGAACAGCUCCCCUGGGGCCUGGCCACGUGCGUGUCUGCCACGGCGCUGUCCUGAGUAGACUCGCUGUGAAGGGAAGGCAAGAAUUAGAGAAAGAAGGGGACCCAGUGCUGAGGGAUAAUUUUCUAACCACAUAUGAGAUGUGACUAUUUCUACGCACCCAAGGAAAGGCCGGUCACAGAAGCAAACGUGGAAACUGAGGGAGGAAUCGCUGGUGGAGAGCGAGCCCCAGGAGGCCUGAGACAGCGCUCAGGCAGAAACGUCCCGUCAGAAAUGUUGGGAAAUUGCUUAUGAAGUGAUGUAAGUGCAGUGACGGACGUUGAGUCAAACUGACAUCAUGAUGUAAAUGCCAUGGCUGGUUCCAGGCAGGGGCACUCAUCCUUUUUCUCCAGCUUCUAUCGAAUGGAGUAAGUAGUGCAAAAUACGUCACAGGUUGUACUUGGAGACUUUGCCGCGUGCCUUUCCUUUUUGUUUUGUUCUUUUUUUUGUGAGACGGAGUCUCGCUCUGUCGCCCAGGCUGGAGUGCAGUGGCUCGAUCUCGGCUCACUGCAAGCUCCGCCUCCAGGGUUCAAGCCAUUCUCCUGCCACAGCCUCCAGAGUAGCUGGGACUGCAGGCGCCCGCCACCACGGCUGGCUAAUUUUUUGUGUAUUUUUAGUAGAGAUGGG